rnacentral:rRNA from 1 species
AGUGAACGCUGGCGGCGUGGAUUAGGCAUGCAAGUCGCGCGAUCUCGCAAGAGAUAGCGGCAAACGGGGUUAGGAACACGUAAAUAAUCUUCCUCGUAUUCAAACAUAGCCUUAUGAGAAGUAAGGGUAAUAUUUGAUAAUACCAUUGUGUGGCAUCACAUGACGUUUAAAGCAGGGGACCGCAAGGCCUUGCGAUAUGAGAUGAGUUUGCGUAGCAUCAGCUAGUUGGUAGGGUAAUGGCCUACCAAGGCAAUGACGCUUAGCUGGUCUGAGAGGACGAUCAGCAACACUGGGACUGAGACACUGCCCAGACUCCUACGGGAGGCUGCAGUCGAGAAUAUUUAGCAAUGGACGCAAGUCUGACUAUGCGACGCCGCGUGAGGGAUGAAGGAUUUCGGUUCGUAAACCUCUUUUGGCAGGGAAGAAAUAUCACAUUUAAUAAGUGUGAAACUGACGGUACCUGCAG